GAGGAUAUAGCUCAGUGGUAGAGCACAUGCUUAGCAUGCACAAGGUCCUGGGUUCAAUCCCCAGUACCUCCA
rfam:Camelus ferus unplaced genomic scaffold scaffold1026, whole genome shotgun sequence.